rnacentral:rRNA from 1 species
AACGAACGCUGGCGGCAGGCCUAACACAUGCAAGUCGAGCGCCCCGCAAGGGGAGCGGCGGACGGGUGAGUAACGCGUGGGAACGUACCCUUUGCUACGGAAUAGCCUCGGGAAACUGGGAGUAAUACCGUAUGUGUCCUUCGGGAGAAAGAUUUAUCGGCAAGGGAUCGGCCCGCGUUGGAUUAGGUAGUUGGUGGGGUAAUGGCCUACCACGCCGACGAUCCAUAGCUGGUUUGAGAGGAUGAUCAGCCACACUGGGACUGAGACACGGCCCAGACUCCUACGGGAAGCAGCAGUGGGGAAUCUUAGACAAUGGGCGCAAGCCUGAUCUAGCCAUGCCGCGUGAGCGAUGAAGGCCUUAGGGUUGUAAAGCUCUUUCAGGGGGGAAGAUAAUGACUGUACCCCCAGAAGAAGCCCCGGCUAACUCCGUG